UACGAAGGGGGGCUAGCGUUGUUCGGAUUUACUGGGCGUAAAGCGCACGUAGGCGGAUUGGUCAGUUAGGGGUGAAAUCCUGGAGCUCAACUCCAGAACUGCCUUUAAUACUGCCAGUCUCGAGUCCGGAAGAGGUAAGUGGAACUCCUAGUGUAGAGGUGGAAUUCGUAGAUAUUAGGAAGAACACCAGUGGCGAAGGCGGCUUACUGGUCCAGUACUGACGCUGAGGUGCGAAAGCGUGGGGAGCAAACAGG
rnacentral:rRNA from 1 species